rnacentral:rRNA from 1 species
AUUGAACGCUGGCGGCAGGCCUAACACAUGCAAGUCGAGCGGAUGAAGAGAGCUUGCUCUCUGAUUUAGCGGCGGACGGGUGAGUAAUGCCUAGGAAUCUGCCUGGUAGUGGGGGAUAACGUUCCGAAAGGAACGCUAAUACCGCGUACGUCCUACGGGAGAAAGCAGGGGACCUUCGGGCUUUGCGCUAUCAGAUGAGCCUAGGUCGGAUUAGCUAGUUGGUGAGGUAAUGGCUCACCAAGGCGACGAUCCGUAACUGGUCUGAGAGGAUGAUCAGUCACACUGGAACUGAGACACGGUCCAGACUCCUACGGGAGGCAGCAGUGGGGAAUAUUGGACAAUGGGCGAAAGCCUGAUCCAGCCAUGCCGCGUGUGUGAAGAAGGUCUUCGGAUUGUAAAGCACUUUAAGUUGGGAGGAAGGGCAGUAAGUUAAUACCUUGCUGUUUUGACGUUACCGACAGAAUAAGCACCGGCUAACUUCGUGCCAGCAGCCGCCGUAAGAC